rnacentral:rRNA from 23 species
AAAUUGAAGAGUUUGAUCAUGGCUCAGAUUGAACGCUGGCGGCAGGCCUAACACAUGCAAGUCGAACGGUAACAGGAAGCAGCUUGCUGCUUUGCUGACGAGUGGCGGACGGGUGAGUAAUGUCUGGGAAACUGCCUGAUGGAGGGGGAUAACUACUGGAAACGGUGGCUAAUACCGCAUAACGUCGCAAGACCAAAGAGGGGGACCUUCGGGCCUCUUGCCAUCAGAUGUGCCCAGAUGGGAUUAGCUAGUUGGUGAGGUAACGGCUCACCAAGGCGACGAUCCCUAGCUGGUCUGAGAGGAUGACCAGCCACACUGGAACUGAGACACGGUCCAGACUCCUACGGGAGGCAGCAGUGGGGAAUAUUGCACAAUGGGCGCAAGCCUGAUGCAGCCAUGCCGCGUGUAUGAAGAAGGCCUUCGGGUUGUAAAGUACUUUCAGCGGGGAGGAAGGUGUUGUGGUUAAUAACCGCAGCAAUUGACGUUACCCGCAGAAGAAGCACCGGCUAACUCCGUGCCAGCAGCCGCGGUAAUACGGAGGGUGCAAGCGUUAAUCGGAAUUACUGGGCGUAAAGCGCACGCAGGCGGUCUGUCAAGUCGGAUGUGAAAUCCCCGGGCUCAACCUGGGAACUGCAUUCGAAACUGGCAGGCUUGAGUCUUGUAGAGGGGGGUAGAAUUCCAGGUGUAGCGGUGAAAUGCGUAGAGAUCUGGAGGAAUACCGGUGGCGAAGGCGGCCCCCUGGACAAAGACUGACGCUCAGGUGCGAAAGCGUGGGGAGCAAACAGGAUUAGAUACCCUGGUAGUCCACGCCGUAAACGAUGUCUACUUGGAGGUUGUGCCCUUGAGGCGUGGCUUCCGGAGCUAACGCGUUAAGUAGACCGCCUGGGGAGUACGGCCGCAAGGUUAAAACUCAAAUGAAUUGACGGGGGCCCGCACAAGCGGUGGAGCAUGUGGUUUAAUUCGAUGCAACGCGAAGAACCUUACCUGGUCUUGACAUCCACAGAACUUUCCAGAGAUGGAUUGGUGCCUUCGGGAACUGUGAGACAGGUGCUGCAUGGCUGUCGUCAGCUCGUGUUGUGAAAUGUUGGGUUAAGUCCCGCAACGAGCGCAACCCUUAUCCUUUGUUGCCAGCGGUUAGGCCGGGAACUCAAAGGAGACUGCCAGUGAUAAACUGGAGGAAGGUGGGGAUGACGUCAAGUCAUCAUGGCCCUUACGACCAGGGCUACACACGUGCUACAAUGGCGCAUACAAAGAGAAGCGACCUCGCGAGAGCAAGCGGACCUCAUAAAGUGCGUCGUAGUCCGGAUUGGAGUCUGCAACUCGACUCCAUGAAGUCGGAAUCGCUAGUAAUCGUGGAUCAGAAUGCCACGGUGAAUACGUUCCCGGGCCUUGUACACACCGCCCGUCACACCAUGGGAGUGGGUUGCAAAAGAAGUAGGUAGCUUAACCUUCGGGAGGGCGCUUACCACUUUGUGAUUCAUGACUGGGGUGAAGUCGUAACAAGGUAACCGUAGGGGAACCUGCGGUUGGAUCACCUCCUUACCUGAAAGAA